ACAACCUCCGAUGGCAUCAUCUGGAGGUGGAAAGCGAUUCAGCGGUCAAGGAUGGGCUCGCGGCCUAUCAGCUUGUUGGUGAGGUAACGGCUCACCAAGGCUUCGACGGGUAGCCGGCCUGAGAGGGCGACCGGCCACACUGGGACUGAGAUACGGCCCAGACUCCUACGGGAGGCAGCAGUGGGAAUAUUGCACAAUGGGCGCAAGCCUGAUGCAGCAACGCCGCGUGCGGGAUGACGGCCUUCGGGUUGUAAACCGCUUUCAGUUCCGACGAAGCGCAAGUGACGGCAGGAACAGAAGAAGGACCGGCCAACUACGUGCCAGCAGCCGCGGUGAUACGUAGGGUCCGAGCGUUGUCCGGAAUUAUUGGGCGUAAAGGGCUUGUAGGCGGUUUGUCACGUCGGAAGUGAAAACUCAGGGCUCAACCCCGAGCCUGCUUCCGAUACGGGCAAACUAGAGGGAUGCAGGGGAGAAUGGAAUUCCUGGUGGAGCGGUGGAAUGCGCAGAUAUCAGGAGGAACACCGGUGGCGAAGGCGGUUCUCUGGGCAUUUCCUGACGCUGAGAAGCGAAAGCGUGGGGAGCAAACAGGCUUAGAUACCCUGGUAGUCCACGCCGUAAACGGUGGGCACUAGGUGUGGGGAACAUUCCACGUUCUCCGUGCCGAAGCUAACGCAUUAAGUGCCCCGCCUGGGGAGUACGGCCGCAAGGCUAAAACUCAAAGGAAUUGACGGGGGCCCGCACAAGCGGCGGAGCAUGCGGAUUAAUUCGAUGCAACGCGAAGAACCUUACCUGGGUUUGACAUAUGCCGGAAAGCUACAGAGAUGUAGCCCCCGCAAGGUCGGUAUACAGGUGGUGCAUGGCUGUCGUCAGCUCGUGUCGUGAGAUGUUGGGUUAAGUCCCGCAACGAGCGCAACCCUCGUCCUAUGUUGCCAGCGGAUAAUGCCGGGGACUCAUGGGAGACUGCCGGGGUCAACUCGGAGGAAGGUGGGGAUGACGUCAAGUCAUCAUGCCCCUUAAGUCCAGGGCUUCACGCGUGCUACAAUGGCUGGUACAAAGGGCUGCAAAACCGCAAGGUCGAGCGAAUCCCAAAAAGCCAGUCUCAGUUCGGAUUGGGGUCUGCAACUCGACCCCAUGAAGUCGGAGUCGCUAGUAAUCGCAGAUCAGCAACGCUGCGGUGAAUACGUUCCCGGGCCUUGUACACACCGCCCGUCAAGUCAUGAAAGUCGGUAACACCCGAAGCCGGUGGCCCAACCCUUAGGGGAGGGAGCUGUCGAAGGUGGGACUGGCGAUUAGGACUAAGUCGUAACAAGGUA
rnacentral:rRNA from 1 species